UUACAGAAAUAUCCUUCUUUACACCACAAUUUAUGGUGUCUCUAUUUUUAGAAGUGCAAAUAUAACUAUUAAAAAGUUACCUUUUAAAUAACAUUAGAUUUUGUCUCAUGUUAGUUCAAAAGUUUCCCAAUCUAACUGUUAAAUUAUUACAUUGUCAUUUUCUAGCAUCUUCUCAUUCUAUUUUCCAUUUACUCAAAUGGAAUCUUUAGAUGAUGAUAUGACAAGGAAUGAUAAAUUGCAAGAA
rnacentral:misc_RNA from 1 species